CGAAGCACCGAAGACAGCGCCACGGCCUG
rnacentral:sRNA from 1 species